CUAACACAUGCAAGUCGAGCGAGGUAUUUAUACCUAGCGGCGGACGGGUGAGUAACACGUGGGUAACCUGCCUCAGAGAGGGGAAUAGCCUUCCGAAAGGAAGAUUAAUACCGCAUAAUAUAUACUUUUAGCAUUAUGAGUAUAUCAAAGGAGCAAUCCGCUUUGAGAUGGGCCCGCGGCGCAUUAGCUAGUUGGAGAGGUAACGGCUCACCAAGGCGACGAUGCGUANCCAACCUGAGAGGGUGAUCGGCCACAUUGGAACUGAGACACGGUCCAGACUCCUACGGGAGGCAGCANUGAGGAAUAUUGGUCAAUGGAGGCAACUCUGAACCAGCCAAGUCNCGUGAAGGAUGAANGUCUUAUGGAUUGU
rnacentral:rRNA from 1 species